AGUGUACGCUGGCGGUAGGCCUAACACAUGCAAGUCGAACGGCAGCACAGUAAGAGCUUGCUCUUACGGGUGGCGAGUGGCGGACGGGUGAGGAAUACAUCGGAAUCUACUUUUUCGUGGGGGAUAACGUAGGGAAACUUACGCUAAUACCGCAUACGACCUACGGGUGAAAGCAGGGGAUCUUCGGACCUUGCGCGAUUGAAUGAGCCGAUGUCGGAUUAGCUAGUUGGCGGGGUAAAGGCCCACCAAGGCGACGAUCCGUAGCUGGUCUGAGAGGAUGAGCAGCCACACUGGAACUGGGACACGGUCCAGACUCCUACGGGAGGCAGCAGUGGGGAAUAUUGGACAAUGGGCGCAAGCCUGAUCCAGCCAUACCGCGUGGGUGAAGAAGGCCUUCGGGUUGUAAAGCCCUUUUGUUGGGAAAGAAAAGCAGCAGGUUAAUACCCCGCUGUUCUGACGGUACCCAAAGAAUAAGCACCGGCUAACUUCGUG
rnacentral:rRNA from 1 species